ACGAAGUAUAACCCCGAAGCCCGGUAGGACUAACUCUUUGGGGGAGACCCUCGAAGGUGGACACAGCGGUUGGACUAAGUCGUAACAGAGGUAGCCGUACCAGAAGGUGCGUCUGGAUCACCUCCUUUCUAAGGAGCAUUAGUGCCCGUUGCAUCACCGCGUGUGUGAUGGCGGGUUGCUCAUGGGUGGAACAUCAAUGAAUGGUGCCAGUGGUGGUGCCGGCAGUGCUCGAGUACGUCAUGCCUUUGCGGGUGUGGUUGGAAUGGGUGGUUUUGGUGGCUGCGAGCUGGUGUUGGCACACUGUUGGGUCCUGGAACAGCAAGCACCCUGUAUCUGUGAGGGUUGGGGUUGUUGUUUCUGGUCUCCGUAUCUUGUGAAGCUGGCCUUGUGGGUUGGUGGAUGGGGUGUGGGUUGUUGUUUGAGAACUGCAUAGUGGACGCGAGCAUCUUAUUUUUUUGUUGCUGCAUCGUUGAUCGCACUGUCCCCCCUGGGGUGGUGUGUGAGGUGUGGUGAUGCCGAGAAUGACAUCUUAGUUAGAUAUUGCUCAUUUGAGGACUUUCAUUGUGUGUGAAAGUUUCCAAGGGCGCAUGGUGGAUGCCUUGGCAACAGGAGCCGAAGAAGGACGUGGGAAUCUGCGAUAAGCCUGGUGGAGUCGAUAACCGGACGUUGAGACCAGGAUUUCCGAAUGGGGAAACCCCGCACGACGUGUCGUGUGACCCCCGGUUG
rnacentral:misc_RNA from 1 species